CCUACGGGAGGCAGCAGUGGGGAAUAUUGGGCAAUGGAGGAAACUCUGACCCAGCAACGCCGCGUGAAUGAUGAAGGUCUUCGGAUUGUAAAGUUCUUUUCUAAGGGAAGAAGAAAGUGACGGUACCUUAGGAAUAAGCCUCGGCUAACUACGUGCCAGCAGCCGCGGUAAUACGUAGGAGGCAAGCGUUAUCCGGAAUGACUGGGCGUAAAGGGUGCGUAGGUGGUUUGACAAGUUGGUAGCGUAACUCCGAGGCUUAACCUCGGCACUACUACCAAAACUGUUGGACUCGAGUGCAGGAGGGGCAAAUGGAAUUCCUAGUGUAGCGGUGGAAUGCGUAGAUAUUAGGAGGAACACCAGUGGCGAAGGCGGCUUACUGGACUGUAACUGACGUUGAGGCUCGAAAGCGUGGGGAGCAAACAGGAUUAGAUACCCGUGUAGUC
rnacentral:rRNA from 1 species